AGCUUGGGCUCCUCGGCCAAAAUAAAAAGGCAGCAGUUCGUCAACUGUCAACAUCCAAGCCAGCAGCCUCUCAGAGCCUGUGCCCACAAAUUCCGUAAUCUGUCAGAUCCCAUUCAGGAAACUAGCGGAUUUGUCAAGUCCCCACUGCCGUGAAUCAGUAGGCCCGGGGGCGCCCACCACCGAAACCAGCAGCCUUGCCAACUGCACCACUCUUACCAACACAUCUCUGAAGAGCAGGGGCGAGCCUAACGGGAUGCUCCAGUCCACAUCGCCGCCGUCCGGGACCUUGAUGCGGAUGACCAACUGCUGCUGGGGCGGCGGCGGCUGCGCCUUGGGCUCCAUCUCACGGGGCACGAGCAUUGCUCGCGCGGGGCCUCAUUCUCCACCUCGCGACUGCCCGCGAGCUUGAACUGACGACCAACGGCCGCCCGCGAGCUCGGACUGACGACCAACGGCCGCCCGCGCGCCCACACCGACCGGUGACGCUCGCCUCGAUCCCAGAUCAGGACCAACGGUUGCUCGGAACCUGAACUGACGGCCUCGCCUCCAGGAAUUAUAGGGCAGUAUUUUGCAUUCGAAACCGGACCAAAAAUGACGGGAGGUGAAGUUCUUCGGACCCGUCAUCGAAAACACAUCGCGGAGCCGGCGGACGUCUUUCCUCUCUGCACCAGAGUGGGAGGAGCCCAGAAACCAACUUCUCCAGGAGCCAUGGAAGAGUUAUCGCCUGGUCACUACUCCAGCAACCAAAAUCACAACCACAAACACAUUAAAUAGGAGAAAAGAUGUACCUUUUGUCAUUGAUCUUAUUAGUUAUAAAAGGAUCGAAAAUGGGCGUUCCAAAUUCCAUUUGAUUGAGGUAGGGGCUGGGCCAAGCAGAGUUGGCAAGCCUCGUCAAAGGCAAACAUCAAGAAGGUUUCUUUUUAAAUUUUGCAGAACAAGACUGUUCAAAUAUAAAUAAAACGGACUUAGCAAAUACAA